UACAGGGGAGUAAUCAUGUGAAAACGUGACUAAUACCGCAUGUCAUUUGUUGAAGGCAUCUUCGACAAAGAAAAGGAGCAAUCCGGUAUGAGAUGGGCCCGCAUCUGAUUAGCUAGUUGGUGAGAUAACAGCCCACCAAGGCGACGAUCAGUAGCCGACCUGAGAGGGUGAUCGGCCACAUUGGGACUGAGACACGGCCCAA
rnacentral:rRNA from 1 species